AGUUUUUCGGCUGUCCAUUUUUUUGUGCUGGGAUAUGUCAACAGAGGAGCUACGUACUUGGAAAUGAAGUCAACACGGUUAUUUAAGAUGACAUGGGGCAAUGAGAGAAGAGGAAUUUUAAGAGCCUGUGCCAACAGUGGGACAUGAUCUGCGCAGAGACCGACACAUUGGCACAACCCAUACGAAAAGAUUCAGAAGUGCCCAGUACAGGAGAGGGGGCAGACAUCACUGUUUCGUGGGCAGCAGACCUGUACAGGCUCCAGCCCUGUGUGUCACAGCUACAGAUGCCUGCGCUGCUGGCACAGACGCCCCGGCCCCCCUCGCCAUCGCUCCAGCCCUGUGUGUCACAGCUCCACACCCCUGCGCUGCUGGCCCAGCCUCCUCUGGCCCCCUCGCCAUCACUCCAGCCCUGUGUGUAACAGCUCCAGACGCCUGCGCUGCUGGCCCAGCCUCCUCUGCCCCACGCGCCAGACGCCUGCACCAUGGCCUCCUCCUGCCCUCAGCUCUACCAGCUCCUGGUCCGUCUCAAGUCCAGCCAUCACAGCUGGUAGGCUGUCGGUGAACACGGGAUGCCAAGCAUGGACAAGGUGGACAACCUGGCUGAAUACAUUGUGGAGCUGCACCAUGAAGCCUCCCUGACCCACCCCCUGCAUUUUCAAUACCACUUGUUCUCCCACUCCACCCAAACUGCUCCUCUUGUCUUUUCUCGGCUUACUUUUCCUCUCUGUA